UACAGAGGGUGCGAGCGUUGUUCGGAAUUAUUGGGCGUAAAGGGCGCGUAGGCGGUGCGGUAAGUCACCUGUGAAAUCUCCUGGCUCAACUGGGAGCUUGCAGGCGAAACUGCCGUGCUGGAGUGUGGGAGAGGUGCGUGGAAUUCCUGGUGUAGCGGUGAAAUGCGUAGAUAUCAGGAGGAACACCUGUGGCGAAAGCGGCGCACUGGACCACAACUGACACUGAGGCACGAAAGCGUGGGGAGCAAACAGG
rnacentral:rRNA from 1 species